UACGAAGGGGGCUAGCGUUGUUCGGAAUUACUGGGCGUAAAGCGCACGUAGGCGGGUAUUUAAGUCAGGGGUGAAAUCCCAGAGCUCAACUCUGGAACUGCCUUUGAUACUGGGUAUCUUGAGUAUGGAAGAGGUAAGUGGAAUUGCGAGUGUAGAGGUGAAAUUCGUAGAUAUUCGCAGGAACACCAGUGGCGAAGGCGGCUUACUGGUCCAUUACUGACGCUGAGGUGCGAAAGCGUGGGGAGCAAACAGG
rnacentral:rRNA from 1 species